AACGAACGCUGGCGGCAGGCUUAACACAUGCAAGUCGAGCGCCCCGCAAGGGGAGCGGCAGACGGGUGAGUAACGCGUGGGAAACUACCCUUUGGUACGGAAUAACACAGAGAAAUUUGUGCUAAUACCGUAUGUGCCCUUCGGGGGAAAGAUUUAUCGCCAUAGGAUGUGCCCGCGUAGGAUUAGCUAGUUGGUGUGGUAAUGGCGCACCAAGGCGACGAUCCUUAGCUGGUCUGAGAGGAUGAUCAGCCACACUGGGACUGAGACACGGCCCAGACUCCUACGGGAGGCAGCAGUGGGGAAUAUUGGACAAUGGGCGCAAGCCUGAUCCAGCCAUGCCGUCGUGAGUGAUGAAGGCCUUAGGGUUGUAAAGCUCUUUCACCCACGACGAUAAUGACGGUAGUGGGAGAAGAAGCCCCGGCUAACUUCGUG
rnacentral:rRNA from 1 species